UGGAUUAGCCGUCUUCGAUUGCAGAUGCCAAGAGAAACAAUAAACCUCAUAAGACGCAACCAAAAUUCCAGAUAGUCCAUGUUACAAUUCAGCAAUUUUCCCUCUUCUGGUUAAAGAAACAAGAGCAUUACAACAGUAGGAACACGUUCAUCAAGAAAUCUCAGAGUUUAAACUCCUUAAAGACAUGCGUAACUCUUUCCAAUUGACCCAAAAGCAGACAAAAUCAAGAACAAGUUAUAAGCAUUCAGAAUUAUAAGCCUUACUAUUUUGCUUAGCAGCCAAACAAGCCCGAAGCAACAUCGAAUUUCCAAUGAAGUUCCUGCUUUCAAGAUGACAACAAUAACAAGUUGGAGUCAGCGAGAUGAAUCCUCAUAUAUUCAUUACGGUCAACUCAUAUCAUUAUUAUACCAAACAAAUAAAAAAUAAAAAAAUAAGAAUAUAUAAACAAAUAAUAAUAAUAAUACAACAACACAAUAUUAAAAUUUAUCUAAUAAGUGUAAAGUGUAAACCUAUUUCCAACUAGUAAAUAUCACUAUAUGGAUAUUUUUUUUUUCUAUGUUCCCUAUCUUUAACAGAUUUGUAGAUCUUUCAAGACUACUACAACAAAAUUAGAUAAGUUGAUGAAAAAUCAACAUGUAAGUGGUGUUCUAUUGGGGGUGAAUUGUCAAGUCUUAGAAUUUGGGGACCCUCGGGGAAGUUUGAGUUCCUUGGGGCGUCAAUAAGAUAUUCCAUUAAUUAAUAAAACCUUUAUGAGCAUUUACAACGCAAAGGUUCUAUGGUCUAGUGGACAUUGGACUCUGAAGUCAGUAACCCGAGUUCAAAUCUCGGUAUUAACCUUCUUUAGUUUCCUUUUAACAAAGAAUUAAUGGUACUUUGUAUCUACACAAAUAUUUUUUUAAAAUUUUUCAAAAUUGAUUUCUCACACAUAACUGGAAUUUAGCUCCAUCACCUUUACUAUCAUUCGCAUGGUUCAGUUUGUGUCGCAUAUAUAUUAUCUAAUUUGAUUAUAUUUAGCUUAAUUGCGUUGUAGAUGCUUAUGAGUUUUGAUUAACUAAGUAUUUCUUUUCUUAACAAAUUAUCUUUCAUAAACAAAAUUUGAUGACACUGUUUUUUUUAGGUAAAUAAACACAUUGUGUAAAGAAUAGCAGAAGAAAAGUAUUAUUUGGAGACCUUCUGCUAGCCCAAGAUCGUUAACUAAGAAUUAGAGGAUUCAACUAAAGAAGAGAGACUUUUGAAAGGAGAACUUUGUUAUUGAAGAAAAUUUUCUUGAAU
rnacentral:lncRNA from 1 species